CCUACGGGUGGCUGCAGUCGAGAAUCAUUCACAAUGGGGGAAACCCUGAUGGUGCGACGCCGCGUGGGGGAAUGAAGGUCUUCGGAUUGUAAACCCCUGUCAUGUGGGAGCAAAUUAAAAAGAUAGUACCACAAGACGCCGAGACGGCUAAAUCUGUGCCCGCAGCCGCGGUAAUACAGAGGUCUCAAGCGUUGUUCGGAAUCACUGGGCGUAAAGCGUGCGUAGGCUGUUUAGUAAGUCGUGUGUGAAAGGCGCGGGCUCAACCCGCGGACGGCACAUGAUACUGCGAGACUAGAGUAAUGGAGGGGGAACCGGAAUUCGCGGUGUAGCAGGGAAAUGCGUAGAGAUCGAGAGGAACACUCGUGGCGAAGGCGGGUUGCGGGACAUUAACUGACGCUGAGGCACGAAGGCCAGGGGAGCGAAAGGGAUUAGAUACCCGGGUAGUC
rnacentral:rRNA from 1 species